UACGUAGGGGGCAAGCGUUGUCCGGAUUUAUUGGGCGUAAAGAGCGUGUAGGCGGCUGGGUAGGUCCGUUGUGAAAACUCGAGGCUCAACCUCGAGACGCCGAUGGAAACCCUCCAGCUAGAGUCCGGAAGAGGAGAGUGGAAUUCCUGGUGUAGCGGUGAAAUGCGCAGAUAUCAGGAGGAACACCAAUGGCGAAGGCAGCUCGCUGGGACGUGACUGACGCUGAGACGCGAAAGCGUGGGGAGCAAACAGG
rnacentral:rRNA from 1 species